UACAGAGGGUGCAAGCGUUAAUCGGAGUUACUGGGCGUAAAGGGCGCGUAGGCGGUCAUUUAAGUUGGAUGUGAAAUCCCUGGGCUUAACCUAGGAACUGCAUUCAAUACUGGGUGACUAGAAUAUUGUAGAGGGUAGUGGAAUUUCCGGUGUAGCGGUGAAAUGCGUAGAGAUCGGAAGGAACACCAGUGGCGAAGGCGGCUACCUGGACAAAUAUUGACGCUGAGGCGCGAAAGCGUGGGGAGCAAACAGG
rnacentral:rRNA from 1 species